AGCAGGCCGAACGACCGCGGGCACAGGGCGAAAGCCCGUGCGUGAGGAAAGUCCGGGCUCCGCAGGGCAAGGAUAACGGGUAACGCCCGCCAGGGAUGACCCUCGGACAAGUGCAACAGAGAGAUACCGCCGUGCGGCUCGCCGCGCGGUAAGGGUGGAAAGGCGAGGUAAGAGCUCACCCGCCGCAUGGAGACAUGUCGGUGCUGUAAACUCUAUCCGGAGCAACACCGUGGGAGGACGCAUGGCCGGCCCGGCCGUCCUCAGGAGGUGGCUUGAGCCCGUCGGCAACGGCGGGCCACAGAUAGAUGGUCGUUCAAAGGCUUCGGCCUCGGACAGAACCCGGCUUACAGGCCUACUCAU
rnacentral:RNase_P_RNA from 1 species